rnacentral:tRNA from 1 species
UAGCUCAGUGGUUUGAGCAUUGGCCUGUUAAACCCAGGGUUGUGAGUUCAAUUCUUAU